rnacentral:rRNA from 1 species
GGCUCAGAUUGAACGCUGGCGGCAGGCCUAACACAUGCAAGUCGAGCGGUAGCACAGAGAGCUUGCUCUCGGGUGACGAGCGGCGGACGGGUGAGUAAUGUCUGGGAAACUGCCUGAUGGAGGGGGAUAACUACUGGAAACGGUAGCUAAUACCGCAUAACGUCGCAAGACCAAAGUGGGGGACCUUCGGGCCUCAUGCCAUCAGAUGUGCCCAGAUGGGAUUAGCUAGUAGGUGGGGUAACGGCUCACCUAGGCGACGAUCCCUAGCUGGUCUGAGAGGAUGACCAGCCACACUGGAACUGAGACACGGUCCAGACUCCUACGGGAGGCAGCAGUGGGGAAUAUUGCACAAUGGGCGCAAGCCUGAUGCAGCCAUGCCGCGUGUAUGAAGAAGGCCUUCGGGUUGUAAAGUACUUUCAGCGGGGAGGAAGGCGAUAAGGUUAAUAACCUUGUCGAUUGACGUUACCCGCAGAAGAAGCACCGGCUAACUCCGUGCCAGCAGCCGCGGUAAUACGGAGGGUGCAAGCGUUAAUCGGAAUUACUGGGCGUAAAGCGCACGCAGGCGGUCUGUCAAGUCGGAUGUGAAAUCCCCGGGCUCAACCUGGGAACUGCAUUCGAAACUGGCAGGCUAGAGUCUUGUAGAGGGGGGUAGAAUUCCAGGUGUAGCGGUGAAAUGCGUAGAGAUCUGGAGGAAUACCGGUGGCGAAGGCGGCCCCCUGGACAAAGACUGACGCUCAGGUGCGAAAGCGUGGGGAGCAAACAGGAUUAGAUACCCUGGUAGUCCACGCCGUAAACGAUGUCAAUUUGGAGGUUGUGCCCUUGAGGCGUGGCUUCCGGAGCUAACGCGUUAAAUCGACCGCCUGGGGAGUACGGCCGCAAGGUUAAAACUCAAAUGAAUUGACGGGGGCCCGCACAAGCGGUGGAGCAUGUGGUUUAAUUCGAUGCAACGCGAAGAACCUUACCUGGUCUUGACAUCCACAGAACUUAGCAGAGAUGCUUUGGUGCCUUCGGGAACUGUGAGACAGGUGCUGCAUGGCUGUCGUCAGCUCGUGUUGUGAAAUGUUGGGUUAAGUCCCGCAACGAGCGCAACCCUUAUCCUUUGUUGCCAGCGGUUAGGCCGGGAACUCAAAGGAGACUGCCAGUGAUAAACUGGAGGAAGGUGGGGAUGACGUCAAGUCAUCAUGGCCCUUACGACCAGGGCUACACACGUGCUACAAUGGCAUAUACAAAGAGAAGCGACCUCGCGAGAGCAAGCGGACCUCAUAAAGUAUGUCGUAGUCCGGAUUGGAGUCUGCAACUCGACUCCAUGAAGUCGGAAUCGCUAGUAAUCGUAGAUCAGAAUGCUACGGUGAAUACGUUCCCGGGCCUUGUACACACCGCCCGUCACACCAUGGGAGUGGGUUGCAAAAGAAGUAGGUAGCUUAACCUUCGGGAGGGCGCUUACCACUUUGUGAUUC